UGGCAGGUCAUCCGAAGACUCUAUAUCAUCAUCAGUUAUGUGUUCAGUCCAGCUAUUUUAGACUCAGUUUUAAAAUUCCCUUUAAAUAAACAUGUUUAUAGAAGUUAGAAAAAAAAAUUAAUUGAUAUUCCUCCUGAUACUCGACCCAUUCAUGGCAUUUCCCAUGAGGUUAAGCCAGUUUGAAACAGCACACUUUAAGGAUUACUUUUGUCAUGACCAGCCAGCAUUACCUGAGCUACCCAUAACUCAUUGGGAGGUAUGCAGAUUAGGACAUCAAUGGCAACACCCAAAAUGGGCGGG